GCUGGGCUUGGUAGCGCGAGCUUGUAACCUGAGUGGGAGCAUUAAGAUGGUGGAACAGUUGGCCUUUCCUUGAAGGCUGGGCCUUGGUUGCUAUCUACUGGCUUGCCCGUUCCAAGUGGUGAGUUCGCAGAGGCUUCCCGGUGCCCUUAGAUUGGAGGGCGCACUGCGUGAGGCUGGCUUCACAGAGCAGUGAAAACCUUCUCCUCUCUGCAGUGGAAGGAUAGGAUAACGGGCCGGUGCAUCCUCUACCCACUAGCACCUGAUGGGCUGUCCAAAUCGAACCAUCAUCUUU
rnacentral:SRP_RNA from 1 species